ensembl:lncRNA
GUUAUUUCCGUUAUUUCCAUUAUUUAUUUCCGUUAUUUCUGUUAUUUAUUUUAGUUAUUCCCGUUAUUUAUUUCCGUUAUUUCCAUUAUUUACUUAUGUUAUUUCAGUUAUUUAUUUCCGUUAUUUCCGUUGUUCUUCUUGGUCUGUCAUCUAACUUCCUGCUGUAUGUUUCUGUCUCUCUGGAGGUUAUUUCCGUUAUUUCCAUUAUUUCCGUUAUUUCAGUUAUUUUCUUUACUUUUCUUGGCCUGUCAUCUAAGUUUCUGCUGUAUGUUUCUUUCUCUCUGGAGGUUAUUUCCUUUAUUUCCAUUAUUUCCGUUAUUUCAGUUAUUUCCUUUAUUCUUCUUGGCCUGUCAUCUAAGUUUCUGCUGUAUGUUUCUGUCUUUCGGGAGUUUACUUCCGUUAUUAUUUCUGUUAUUUCCGUUAUUAAUUCCGUUAUUUCCGUAAUUAUUUCUGUUAUUUCCACUGUUCUUCUUGGCCUGUCAUCUAAGUUUCUGCAAUAUGUUUUUGUCUCCCUGGUUGUUAUUUACGUUAUUAUUUCUGUUAUUAUUUCCAUUAUUAUUUCCGGGUUUUUUUUUUGUUGUUAUUUUUGUUGUUGUUUCCGUUUUUUCUUUUUUUUUUUUCGUUUUUUUCUGUUAUUUCCGUUACACUUCUUGGCCUGUCAUCAAAGUUUCUGCAGUAUGUUUCUGUUUCUUUGGUGUUUGGUUCCGUUAAUCUUGUGCGUUCCGUUGUUUAUUUCCAUUAGUUCUGUAAUUUAUUCCCGUUAUUAUUCCCGUUAUUCUUUCCGUUGUUCUUCUUGGCCUGUCAUCUAUUUUUCUGCAGUCUGUUUCUGUCUCUCUGGUGGUUAGUUCCGUUAGUUCCGUUAUUACCAUUCUUUCCAUUAUUUCCCUUGUUCUUCUUGUCCUGUCAUCUAAGUUUCUGCUUUAUGUUUCUUUCUCUCUGCAGUUUAUUUCCGUUGUUGUUCUUGACCUGUCAUGUAAUUUUCUGCUGUAUGUUUCUGUCUCUCUGGAGGUUAUUUCCGUUGUUUCCGUUGUUUCCGUUCUUUCCGUUAUUUCUGUUAUUUCCAUUGUUCUUCUUGGCCUGUCAUCUAACUUUCUGCUGUAUGUUUCUUUCUUUCUCUCUGCAGUUUAUUUCCGUUAUUUCCAUUAUUUCUGUUAUUUUUGUUGUUCUUCUUGGCCUGUCAUCUAAAUUUCUGCUGUAUGUUUCUGUCUCUAUGGAGGCUGUUUCCGUUAUUUCCGUUAUUUCUUUUAUUUCCAUUGUUCUUCUUGGCCUGUCAUCUAAGUUUCUGCAGUAUUUUUAUGUCUCUCUGCAGCUUGUUUCCGUUGUUUCCAUUGUGUCUGUUAUUUCCGUUGUUCUUCUUGGCCUGUCAUCUAACUUUGUGCUGUAUGUUUCUGUCUCUCUGGAGGUUGUUUCCGUUAUUUCUGUUGUUCUUCUUGGCCUGUUAUCUAAGUUUCUGCAGUAUGUUUCUGUCUGUUGGGAGUUUACUUCCCUUGUUAUUUCUGUUAUUUCCGUUACUAAUUCCGUUAUUUCCGUAAUUAUUUCUGUUAUUUCCAUUGUUCUUCUUGGCCUGUCAUCUAAGUUUCUGCAAUAUGUUUUUGUCUCUCUGGUUGUUAUUUACGUUAUUAUUUCCUUUAUUAUUUCCAUCAUUAUUUUUUUUUCUUGUUGUUGUUGUUGUUGUUUCCGUUUUUUCUUUUUUUUUCCCAUUUUUUUCUGUUAUUUCCGUUACACUUCUUGGCCUGUCAUCGAAGUUUCUGCAGUAUGUUUCUUUCUCUCUGGAGGUUAUUUUCGUUAUUUCCGUUAUUUCCUUUAUUUUCCUUGGUCUGUCAUCUAAGUUUCUGCAGAAUAUUUCUGUGUCUCUGGUGGUUAGUUCCGUUAGUUCCGUGAGUUUCGUUGUUUAUUUCCAUUAGUUCUGUAAUUUAUUUCCUUUAUUAUUUUCGUUAUUCUUUCCGUUAUUCUUCUUGCCUGUCAUCUAAGUUUCUGCAGUAUGUUUCUGUCUCUCUGGAGGUUAUUUCCGUUAUUUCCGUUAUUUCCGUUAUUUCCAUUUUUUCAGUUAUUUUCUUUACUUUUCUUGGACUGUCAUCUAAGUUUCUGCUGUAUGUUUCUUUCUCUCUGGAGGUUAUUUCCGUUAUUUCCAUUAUUUCCGUUAUUUCAGUUAUUUCCUUUAUUCUUCUUGGCCUGUCAUCUAAGUUUCUGCUGUAUAUUUCUGUCUCUCUGGAGGUUUUUUCCAUUAUUUUCGUUAUUUUGGUUAUUUCUGUAUUUUCGUUAUUUCCGUAAUUAUUUCCGUUAUUUCCGUUGUUCUUCUUGGCCUGUCAUCUAAGUUUCUGCUGUAAGUUUCUGUCUUGCUGGUGAUUAGUUCCUUUUGUUCCGUUAGAUCCGUUAUUUAUUUCCGUUAGUUCUGGAAUUUAUUUCCGUUAGUUCCGUUAUUUAUUUCCAUUACUUUCGUCUUUUAGUUCCCUUAUUUAGUUCCGU